rnacentral:rRNA from 1 species
CAAUAGCGUAUAUUUAAGUUGUUGCAGUUAAAAAGCUCGUAGUUGGAUUUCUGAAUUGAAUAUCCGGUCCGCUCGUCUCUGAUGAGUGCGUACUUAUGGAUAUUGGAUUCAUUUUUUGUGAGGACAUUUAUCUGUCAUUAAGUUGAUGGAUUUAUAGACUUGCAUCGUUUACUGUGAAAAAAUUAGAGUGUUUAAAGCAGGCGUUCGCCCAUUUGAAUACAUUAGCAUGGAAUAAUAAGAUAUGACUUUGGUGGUCUAUUUUGUUGGUUUGCACACCAGAGUAAUGAUUAAUAGGGACAGUUGGGGGUAUUCAUAUUUCAACGUCAGAGGUGAAAUUCUUAGAUCGUUGAAAGAUGACCCUAGGCGAAAGCAUUUGCCAAGGAUGUUUUCAUUGA